rnacentral:rRNA from 1 species
AGUCAAGUAAUUAAGUGCAUGUGGUGGAUGCCUUGGCAGUCAGAGGCGAUGAAAGACGUGAUAGCCUGCGAAAAGCUCCGGGGAGGCGGCAAAUAUCCUUUGAUCCGGAGAUGUCUGAAUGGGGGAACCCACCUACUUUAAGGUAGGUAUUGCAACAUGAAUACAUAGUGUUGCAAGGCGAACGAGGGGAAGUGAAACAUCUCAGUACCCUUAGGAAAAGAAAUCAAUUGAGAUUCCCUCAGUAGCGGCGAGCGAACGGGGAUCAGCCCAUUAAGUUAUGUGUGUUUUAGUGGAACGCUCUGGGAAGUGCGAACGUAGAGGGUGAUAUUCCCGUACACGAAAGGGCACACAUAAUGAUGACGAGUAGGGCGAGGCACGUGAAACCUUGUCUGAAUAUGGGGGGACCAUCCUCCAAGGCUAAAUACUCCUGACUGACCGAUAGUGAACCAGUACCGUGAGGGAAAGGCGAAAAGAACCCCUGUGAGGGGAGUGAAAUAGAUCCUGAAACCGCAUGCAUACAAGCAGUGGGAGCACCUUCGUGGUGUGACUGCGUACCUUUUGUAUAAUGGGUCAGCGACUUAUAUUCAGUAGCRAGGUUAACCGUAUAGGGGAGCCGUAGAGAAAUCGAGUCUUAAUAGGGCGUUUAGUUGCUGGGUAUAGACCCGAAACCAGGCGAUCUAUCCAUGAGCAGGUUGAAGGUUGGGUAACACUAACUGGAGGACCGAACCCACUGUCGUUGAAAAGCCAGGGGAUGACUUGUGGAUAGGGGUGAAAGGCUAAUCAAGCCUGGUGAUAGCUGGUUCUCCCCGAAAGCUAUUUAGGUAGCGCCUCGGACGAAUACCAUAGGGGGUAGAGCACUGUUUCGGCUAGGGGGUCAUCCCGACUUACCAAACCGAUGCAAACUCCGAAUACCUAUGAGUACUAUCCGGGAGACAGACUGCGGGUGCUAACGUCCGUAGUCAAGAGGAAAACAAUCCAGACCGCCAGCUAAGGCCCCAAAAUCAUAGUUAAGUGGGAAACGAUGUGGGAAGGCAUAGACAGCUAGGAGGUUGGCUUAGAAGCAGCCACCCUUUAAAGAAAGCGUAAUAGCUCACUAGUCGAGUCGGCCUGCGCGGAAGAUGUAACGGGGCUAAAACUAUGUGCCGAAGCUGCGGAUKURNACWUUGUMWANGUGGUAGGGGAGCGUUCUGUAAGCCGAUGAAGGUGURUUGAGAAGYAUGCUGGAGGUAUCAGAAGUGCGAAUGCUGACGUGAGUAACGACAAAACGGGUGAAAAACCCGUUCGCCGAAAGACCAAGGGUUCCAGUCCAACGUUAAUCGGGGCUGGGUGAGUCGACCCCUAAGGCGAGGCCGAAAGGCGUAGUCGAUGGGAAAAUGGUUAAUAUUCCAUUACUUCUGUGUAAUGCGAUGAGAGGACGGAGAAGGCUAAAUCAGCCUGGCGUUGGUUGUCCAGGUGAAAGGAUGUAGGCAUGUAUCUUAGGCAAAUCCGGGGUACUCUAUGCUGAGAUCUGAUAGCAAGCUGUACUUGUACAGCGAAGUGGUUGAUGCCAUGCUUCCAGGAAAAGUCUCUAAGCUUCAGUUACACAGGAAUCGUACCCGAAACCGACACAGGUGGUCAGGUCGAGUAGACCAAGGCGCUUGAGAGAACUCUGCUGAAGGAACUAGGCAAAAUGGUACCGUAACUUCGGGAGAAGGUACGCUGUUGUUGGUGAUGGAACUCGCUUCCUGAGCUGACGACAGCCGCAGAAACCAGGCCGCUGCAACUGUUUAUUAAAAACAUAGCACUCUGCAAACACGAAAGUGGACGUAUAGGGUGUGAUGCCUGCCCGGUGCUGGAAGGUUAAUUGAUGGGGUUAGCGUAAGCGAAGCUCUUGAUCGAAGCCCCAGUAAACGGCGGCCGUAACUAUAACGGUCCUAAGGUAGCGAAAUUCCUUGUCGGGUAAGUUCCGACCUGCACGAAUGGCAUAAUGAUGGCGGCGCUGUCUCCAGCAGAGGCUCAGUGAAAUCGAAAUCGCUGUGAAGAUGCAGUGUACCCGCGGCUAGACGGAAAGACCCCGUGAACCUUUACUGCAGCUUGACACUGAACUUUGACCUUACUUGUGUAGGAUAGGUGGGAGGCUUUGAAGCUGGAACGCUAGUUCCAGUGGAGCCGUCCUUGAAAUACCACCCUGGUAAUGUUGAGGUUCUAACUCUGUCCCGUGAUCCGGGACGAGGACCGUGUCUGGUGGGUAGUUUGACUGGGGCGGUCUCCUCCUAAAGAGUAACGGAGGAGUACGAAGGUGCGCUCAGCGUGGUCGGAAAUCACGCGUAGAGUAUAAAGGCAAAAGCGCGCUUAACUGCGAGACCCACAAGUCGAGCAGGUACGAAAGUAGGUCUUAGUGAUCCGGUGGUUCUGUAUGGAAGGGCCAUCGCUCAACGGAUAAAAGGUACUCUGGGGAUAACAGGCUGAUACCGCCCAAGAGUUCAUAUCGACGGCGGUGUUUGGCACCUCGAUGUCGGCUCAUCUCAUCCUGGGGCUGAAGCAGGUCCCAAGGGUAUGGCUGUUCGCCAUUUAAAGAGGUACGCGAGCUGGGUUUAGAACGUCGUGAGACAGUUCGGUCCCUAUCUACCGUGGGCGCUGGAAAUUUGAGAGGAUCUGCUCCUAGUACGAGAGGACCAGAGUGGACGAACCUCUGGUGUACCGGUUGUGACGCCAGUCGCAUCGCCGGGUAGCUAUGUUCGGAAGGGAUAACCGCUGAAAGCAUCUAAGCGGGAAGCCUACCUCAAGAUAAGAUUUCCCUAGGACUUUAUGUCCUCUAAAGAGCCGUUCGAGACUAGGACGUUGAUAGGUUGGAUGUGGAAGCAUAGUGAUAUGUGAAGCUGACCAAUACUAAUUGCUCGUGAGGCUUGACUAU